CUCGUAUCGUCAGGACAGGGCUCAGGGCAGCAGCAGGGAAAGGCUCCUGUUGAAUAACAAUUUGUUUGGACAGAAGAUGAUGACCUCAGCCACCUAGAUUUGUUACUCCAAAAGGAGCCUUGGAAAGGACCACAGAGUGCUGACACGUCAAAAGAUCCUGCUGUGUUUGUUUUUAAACAGGUCAAAGCCCAGCAGCCGAUCACCCUGCAUGCUUAUAGGCUCUGUGUCCAGCUAUGAAUGCAAGAGCAGGAUCUCAGCACUGAGACGGAUGAGAUUUAAAAUGCAGAGCUGCACAACAACUUCUACAGUAUGGCUCAGAGUGCAGAUGCCAUUUAGCAGUGUCAUUUGGAACUGCAACUCCAAAUUCUCCAGAUAAGCCUGUACAUGUCAAAACAGUUCCUGAAACAGUGAGCCUACAUCUGUAAUAAAGCCUUGCAUAUUUCAUAUGCAAAUGAAAUUAAUAAUUCAAAUUAUAUUGAAACUUAGUCUGUCAUGUAGUUUUUAGUGUAUUCUUUUGGAGGUAAAGAAUAGAAACACAGUCACAAUCCUGAAGGAACGCUGAGCAGUGGGUGGUCCUCAGAGCACAUCUGUGGUGUGCAACACACAAAGUUUCUUCAGCGCCCUCCUUGUCCUCAUCCCAUUUGCCUAUUUGACCCAUGAAAGGUGUCCUUUGUAUCCAGUGAUGUCCAUGGAAGUGGUGAAGAUAGGCUUGCUGGGAUACCUUGCUUGCUUUCGGUGGUUAUAGCCUCUGUCACUGCUUGGCACACCAGCUACUUAAUCUGCCUGUGGCAGAAGUAGAUGUAUAAAUGGAAGCUUGUCAUUGAAAUUGUGUUGUAACAUGGAAGGUGUUCAUAUUCUCAUGCAAUCUAGCAUAAAUCACGUCUCUGUGUUCAUACAACGGCUGUGCACCUCUCUGGACUUGGUGACAAUGUCAGUGGCAUGUCCCCAACCCAGGCUGGUUGUUUCUGUUAUCACCCUACUCUUCCCUCAAUACUGAGCAUGUUCAUAGACUGAUCUGCAGAUCUGCAGAUCAUGUGCAGGAAAGUGAUCUUGUCAUUUCACUGUUCACCAGCAAAUCUAUGUUGCCCCUCCUCAAAUACCAAUACCUGGCCUGCAUAGCUGAAGUGCUCAUAAGCCACCCAAAGCUGUUCUAUUACUUUUACUGAGGAGACGGCCAUUCCAAUGCACAUCUUUCAGAUUGGCAGUGUCACUGGCUAAUUCUUUGGAGGAUCCCUGGAAGUUUGCAUUCUCAUAGAUGGCGUUUUUGGCCUUUUCAGCUAUACUUCUGUAGUU
rnacentral:lncRNA from 1 species